rnacentral:rRNA from 1 species
GACGAACGCUGGCGGCGUGCUUAACACAUGCAAGUCGAACGGUAAGGCUCCAGCUUGCUGGGGUACACGAGUGGCGAACGGGUGAGUAACACGUGGGUGACCUGCCCUGCACUUCGGGAUAAGCCUGGGAAACUGGGUCUAAUACCGGAUAGGACCGCACCGUGAGGGUGUGGUGGAAAGUUUUUUCGGUGUGGGAUGGGCCCGCGGCCUAUCAGCUUGUUGGUGGGGUAAUGGCCUACCAAGGCGGCGACGGGUAGCCGGCCUGAGAGGGUGGACGGCCACAUUGGGACUGAGACACGGCCCAGACUCCUACGGGAGGCAGCAGUGGGGAAUAUUGCACAAUAGGCGGAAGCCUGAUGCAGCGACGCCGCGUGGGGGAUGACGGCCUUCGGGUUGUAAACUCCUUUCACCAUCGACGAAGGGUUUCUGACGGUAGAUGGAGAAGAAGCACCGGCUAACUACGUGCCAGCAGCCGCGGUAAUACGUAGGGUGCGAGCGUUGUCCGGAAUUACUGGGCGUAAAGAGCUCGUAGGUGGUUUGUCGCGUCGUCUGUGAAAUUCCGGGGCUUAACUCCGGGCGUGCAGGCGAUACGGGCAUAACUUGAGUACUGUAGGGGAGACUGGAAUUCCUGGUGUAGCGGUGAAAUGCGCAGAUAUCAGGAGGAACACCGGUGGCGAAGGCGGGUCUCUGGGCAGUAACUGACGCUGAGGAGCGAAAGCAUGGGGAGCGAACAGGAUUAGAUACCCUGGUAGUCCAUGCCGUAAACGGUGGGCGCUAGGUGUGGGUUUCCUUCCACGUCUUCUGUGCCGUAGCUAACGCAUUAAGCGCCCCGCCUGGGGAGUACGGCCGCAAGGCUAAAACUCAAAGGAAUUGACGGGGGCCCGCACAAGCGGCGGAGCAUGUGGAUUAAUUCGAUGCAACGCGAAGAACCUUACCUGGGCUUGACAUAUACAAGACAGGCGUAGAGAUACGUCCUCCCUUGUGGUUUGUAUACAGGUGGUGCAUGGUUGUCGUCAGCUCGUGUCGUGAGAUGUUGGGUUAAGUCCCGCAACGAGCGCAACCCUUGUCUUAUGUUGCCAGCACGUUGUGGUGGGGACUCGUAAGAAACUGCCGGGGUUAACUCGGAGGAAGGUGGGGAUGACGUCAAAUCAUCAUGCCCCUUAUGUCCAGGGCUUCACACAUGCUACAAUGGUCGGUACAGUGGGUUGCCAGUCCGUGAGGGCGAGCUAAUCCCGCAAAGCCGGUCUCAGUUCGGAUCGGGGUCUGCAACUCGACCCCGUGAAGUCGGAGUCGCUAGUAAUCGCAGAUCAGCAACGCUGCGGUGAAUACGUUCCCGGGCCU